rnacentral:rRNA from 1 species
UACUAGAGUAGCACUCGCAUAUCAAUAAGCGGAGGAAAAGAAACUAACAAGGAUUCCCCUAGUAACGGCGAGUGAAGCGGGAAGAGCUCAAAUUUGAAAUCUUAAAGGGUUUCCCUUUACGAAUUGUAGUUUAAAGAAGUGUUUUCUGUUGAGGUUUUGGUAAAAGUUCUUUGGAAUAGGACAUCAUAGAGGGUGAGAAUCCCGUAUUUGACCUUUACUUUCAACUUUGUGAUACACUUUCAAAGAGUCGGAUUGUUUGGGAAUGCAGUCCAAAAUGGGUGGUAAAUUUCAUCUAAAGCUAAAUAUUGGCGAGAGACCGAUAGCGAACAAGUACCGAGAGGGAAAGAUGAAAAGAACUUUGAAAAGAGAGUUAAACAGUACGUGAAAUUGUCAAAAGGGAAGCGUUUGACACCAGUGUUGUUUUUCUGAAAAUCAAUUAAAGAACUGUUUAUGCUAAGCUGUUUAGACUUUAUCAGCUAUCUGUUUAGUUUUGAGCUUUUCUUUAAUGCACUUUUCAGUCAACAAGUCAACAUCAAUUUCUUUUGCUGUAAAAAAGCUUGAGGAAGGUGGCUUGAGAUUCGUCUUAAGUGUUUAUAGCCUCUUGCCUAUGCAGUCGGAGAGAUUGAGGUCUGCAGCGUAGAUCCUUCGGGGCUAAAUGCAUUUGUGCUAAGUUAUAGCAUUUUAUAGACAACUUGUUGACUAUGAUUUGUCUUGUAGCUUACUCGCUUAUGUUAUUUUACCUACGCUUAGGAUGUUGAGCGCAUGUCUCUCUCU